rnacentral:snRNA from 1 species
GUGCUCACUUUGGCAGCAUGUAUACUAAAAUUGGAAUGAUACAGAGAAGAUUAGGAUGGCCUCUCCACAAGGAUGACAGGCAAAUUUGUGAAGUAUUCCACAUUUUU